CUGCGGAAGGAUCAUUACUGAGUAAGGGUCCCUCGGGGCCCAACCUCCCACCCGUGUAUACCGUACCUUGUUGCUUGGGGCGAGCCCGCCCCCUUUUUCUUAGGGGGGCACAGCGCUCGCCGGAGACACCAACGUGAACACUGUCUGAAGUUUUGUCGUCUGAGUCGAUUGUAUCGCAAUCAGUUAAAACUUUCAACAAUGGAUCUCUUGGUUCCGGCAUCGAUGAAGAACGCAGCGAAAUGCGAUAAUUAAUGUGAAUUGCAGAAUUCAGUGAAUCAUCGAGUCUUUGAACGCACAUUGCACCCCCUGGUAUUCCGGGGGGUAUGCCUGUCCGAGCGUCAUUGCUGCCCUCAAGCACGGCUUGUGUGUUGGGUCGUCGUCCCCCCCGGGGGACGGGCCCGAAAGGCAGCGGCGGCACCGCGUCCGGUCCUCGAGCGUAUGGGGCUUUGUCACACCGCUCUUGUAGGCCCGGCCGGCUGCUGGCCGACGCUGAA
rnacentral:misc_RNA from 1 species